CUAUGACCUGUAUUUUCAUUGGUCCAAAGCAGUUGUUUAGUGGAUAUACCCUUUCUAACAGUCUGUUAUGUAGGACUAUCUAUCUAUAGCCCUUUUUGUCUCUAGCCGCUUUCCUAAGGUAGUGAUUUUUCCCCUCGCUCUGUCCAGGGUAGAACAGUGUGUUUUGCAGUUUAUAAUCACUGCACUGCACAGCACUGUAUAUACUGUAUGUUUUCACGUGCGCCACUUAGCAUGGUGUUUAGUUGGGGCUACAUUUUCAUGUAUCUGCUGCUUUAAUAAAGAUAAUUCAUAGUUUUUAGCCUUACCCUUGUAACCAUUUAGACCGAAGUGUCUGUUUGGGUCUUUGUUCGUUCGUGUACUUCUUAAUAACCUGUUCGUGUUUUUAUCAAUCAGUAGCCAAGCCCUACGCAGAUGAUAAAAAUCUGUUCCUAACUCUUCUUUAAAAGGAAAUUAACAUUUUGUUGAUAGGCGUCUCCUCCAGCUAACCAGACUUAUCUGCCCCAUCCAUAUGUUCUAAGAAAUUAGUUAUUUAUAGACACCUUGAUAUCAUUAUAUAUAUCUUCUUCUGCUUCCCCCAAACAGCUUCUGUCUGCUUCAUUCAUUCUGAUGCUUUAGCAGUGACACAUAAAAGAGUGUCUAAUAUCAAAGUCUGCUAAACUGUACUCACUAUCCAUUUACAUCUGUAGAUGCUUGAUUUUUAGUCACUGCUGUAUUACCCUCUUCAGUUCCAUCAUGUAUACAGACAUUAAUUUUAGGCCAUUAAGGCCCAUUAAUCUUUCGCUUUUUCCCUAGUGAUGGUUAUCAAUAUGCAGGCAAACAAAUUUAUCUACCUAUAAAUUGUUCUACCAGGGCUCCAAUCAACCCCUCUGAUCUCUGCAGAGGAAUCGUGGACUUCUCCAAUCUCCUCUCACAGUAUAGCAAGUAUAGUAGCUGUAUAGUAGAGAUGCAUAGUGUAACUGUACUUACUGUGUGUAUCAUGCCCAUAUGCUGAUAUUAGUGUUAUAUUUUGAGUCUGUGCUCUCAGAAAUGCCCGCAUGUUCUCUAAAAAUAACAUUAAGAGAGUUUGCUGCCUGUUCACUUAUUUUGAAUCUUAGGCAAAGCAGAACAUGCAUGACCCAGUGCUAUGACCCGGUGCUAUGCGAAGUUUAAAAUAGUUGUAGCAUUAACCAUAAAACUAGCUGUAAACAAAUAUAUAGAGAAUACCAAAUAUAAAUAUUGGUGAGGUGUCUAUUACGGACAAAUAAUGCAGUAACAUGUACAUUCUAAUUCUACCUGCACUUCUUUAUACUGAAAUAGGGUAGAACACAGCUCAAAAUUACCAGUUGCCUACUAACCAUUGGAAAUUGAUUGUUCAGCCCAGGUGAGUGUGCGACGGACUCUCCAGGCAUGCAGUGGUGAUUAACUUUUGAGACUUGGUUAGCAGAGUAGGAUUUGACAUUUGGAGCCAUUGGGUAAAAUGAAUUGGGUCUCAGCUCUUUAACCGUGAGUAAUAUUUAUUUGGCUAGUUUGAUUGCUUUUCUAACUGAAUUGUUCUUAACUUGGCUAAUGUAGCUUUUAGCAUAUUCAUUUUGCUCUUAUAAUUCAG